rnacentral:rRNA from 1 species
GACGAACGCUGGCGGCGUGCUUAACACAUGCAAGUCGAACGCUGAAGACCUGGCUUUUGUUGGGUUGGAUGAGUGGCGAACGGGUGAGUAACACGUGAGUAACCUGCCCUCUUCUUUGGGAUAACGCCCGGAAACGGGUGCUAAUACUGGAUAUUCACUGGCCUUCGCAUGGGGGUUGGUGGAAAGGUUUGUUCUGGUGGGGGAUGGGCUCGCGGCCUAUCAGCUUGUUGGUGGGGUGAUGGCCUACCAAGGCUUUGACGGGUAGCCGGCCUGGGAGGGUGACCGGGCACAUUGGGACUGGGAUACGGCCCAGACGCCUACGGGAGGCAGGAGUGGGGAAUAUUGCACAAUGGGCGAAAGCCUGAUGCAGCGACGCGGCGUGAGGGAUGGAGGCCUUGGGGUUGUAAACCUCUUUCGCUCAUGGUCAAGCCGCAACUGUGGGUUGUGGUGAGGGUAGUGGGUAAAGAAGCGCCGGCUAACUACGUG